rnacentral:lncRNA from 1 species
CUUCCAUUUGCUGCUUCUCUUCUCAUUUGUGUUGGAUGAGAAGAGAUUGGGGUGUUUGUGCUCCUUGGCGAUUUUGUUUUGUCUGCCGAAGGAGUUUAUUAUGAUGAAUGAACUUGAAAUCCUGAAAUGAAUUUCUUUAUUGCAAGAAACCAUGAUUAUUUAUUGAAUUGGAAAGCAAGCAGGCUGAUGCUCCAUUGAAUACUGUGAACAACAUGUUGCCAGAAAAAAGGAAUGUGCAAUGGAGAUUAUUAAUAUGGAAAUAUCCUAAGAUACGGCAUGCCAUUUGAGAAACUGAAUGAAAUACAUUUUGGCAUGGAAGAUAAUUAAUUGUACCAUGAAUUACUGAGGACAGGUAAACUGAAAAAUCACUUUC